CAACAACUAUACGAACCCUGGGAAUGAAGCAGAUGGUGCACAAGGCUUAGCAGAGAGUGAAGAUGCUGAAAUGGCACAACCAGCAACGGUUGGAUCAGAUUCUGACAUCAUGGCGCACGACUCAGAUGCUGGUCUUGAUUUAGAAGAAGAGUUAGGUGGUAUGAUUAUUGCAGUACUUGAUUAUGACAAUGGACAGAUAGAGUUGUUGGUGAUGUCUAUUGAUUCAACUCCAGCAACCCCAGAACUUUAAUUUCAUAAUAUAUUUAUACAUGCGCUAGCUUAGUUAAUUACUGUAAGCUAAUAAUUACUCUCAGACUGUGUCAAUAACGUUUACUGGUCAUGCACUACAGAAAUUGGUUAACGUACAACAGGAAACAGUAACUUUAUCCUUAUCAGGUUGUGUGUCAAAAUAAUUGGCUGGC
rnacentral:lncRNA from 1 species